GGGCCAGUAGCUCAGCUGGUUAGAGCACCUGCCUCUUAAGUAGGUUGUCGAGGGUUCAAUUCCCUCCUGGCCCU
rnacentral:tRNA from 1 species